rnacentral:rRNA from 1 species
GAGGACUCUCGGUCAAUGGUCGCAUUGCCUGAACCAGCCAAGUAGCGUGAAGGAAGACUGCCCUCCUGGUUGUAAACUUCCUUUAUAAGGGAGUAACGAUAGCAACGAGUUGCUAUUUGCAUGUACCUUACGAAUAAGGAGCUGCUAACUCCGUGCCAGCAGCCGCGGUAAUACGGAGGAUCCAAGCGUUAUCCGGAUUUAUUGGGUUUAAAUGGUGCGUAGGCGGGAAAGGAAGUCAGUUGUGAAAUUUUAUGGCUCAACCAUAAACUUGCAGUUGCAACUCUUUUUUUGAGUACACAUGAGGUGGGCGGAAUUUGUGGUGUAGCGGUGAAAUGCAUAGAUAUCACAAGGAACUCCAAUUGCGAAGGCAGCUCACUGGGGUGUAACUGACGCUAAUGCACGAAGGUGUGGGUAUCAAACA